CCAAUGUAAUAGCGUUCUUCGUAGAAAAGCGACUCCAUAUUGUUAAAUCGAAGUUCAGUAUUGUAUCAGAUGUGGUGUUCUGAAAUACGGAAUGUUUAAACUUUCGUUUAUAACUUUACUAAAACUCGCAUUUUACGUCAAUUGUCACGCAGGAAAAGCCCCAAUAUAUAUUGGCUGUUAUCGAUACAACAAAGCUGCCCAAGAACUAGCGGCCUAUCAACAUUCAUCAAUUCCUCUCACAACUGGUCACCCCCAGUGCUUUAAACAUUGCAGAAAAUUGAAGAGAAGAUUCGCAGGAAUUAUAUACAAAAAUAUCUGCCACUGCGUCGACAAAGGACCAGACGCAAGUACUAAAGUGGAGCCAUGUUUUUUAAGGUGCGAAGAUAAUCCAUUUCAGGAAUGUGGAGGAUAUCAAAAGAUCAGUCUUUUAAAAAACCACUUCUUCUCGAAACAUGACCGCCGGUUGGAUUUUGGUACACGUUGUAUUUCCGAUGAGAAUCAUGGUGCCAAUAAAGAAUGGGAGGCAAUUCACCAUCCAGCUUGUCAAACGUAUACUAUUUAUGGAUGUCUAUCGACCACUGAUAUGAGGGCCAAUCGAAUUAAGACAAACAUACGUUCAGGCGUUUCUCUGUACUUUUGUGUCCGCUUCUGUAAGAUUCAAACCUUCAAAUUCGCUGUUUUUAAUGAAUCUGCCAAAUUGUGUUCUUGCAUGGAUACUGCCAGAUUUUUGGUGAAAUGUAGAAAUAAAAAAAACGAUGCCAACGUAUACAAAACGACUUAUCAUGAGAAUGUUGACGUCGGUUGCUUUUCGAUCAGUUCCGUCUCUAUUAGGAAGCAGAAGGAAAUAACUGACAUAAUUUACCUCGCAGACUGUGCGCUUUACUGCCGUAAAUAUAAAUAUUACGGAUAUUCUGUCAAUGCCAGUUGUGGUUGUGAAAACUCCUUCAUAAGCAGUGUUCAACGUUUUGAUAAUUUGUGUGAUGUCACAUGUCAGUCUUCUCCUCCAGACAGAUGUGGAGGUGCAGGUGUAGUAUCCGUUUACGAUACAGCUGUGUCACGGUUGGCAGAUUUCGAAUAAACCAAGCACUAGAUCACUUAUAAUUAGUCUUUAUUUACCCCGGAAAGAUGGAGAGCCAUUCAGACCCGAAAAGUCGAUCUUUCUGGAGUAGACAGUGAAGCCAGAG
rnacentral:misc_RNA from 1 species